AUUGAACGCUGGCGGCAGGCCUAACACAUGCAAGUCGAACGAGUGGCGGACGGGUGAGUAAUGUCUGGGCAACUGCCCGAUGGAGGGGGGUAACUACUGGAACCGGUAGCUAAUACCGCAUACCAUCGGAUGUGCCCAGAUGGGAUUAGCUAGUAGGUGGGGUAACGGCUCACCUAGGCGACGAUCCCUAGCUGGUCUGAGAGGAUGACCAGCCACACUGGAACUGAGACACGGUCCAGACUCCUACGGGAGGCAGCAGUGGGGAAUAUUGGACAAUGGGCGAAAGCCUGAUGCAGCCAUGCCGCGUGUAUGAAGAAGGCUGUCGGGUUGUAAAGUACUUUCAGCAGGGAGGCGUUACUCGAAGAAGAAGCACCGGCUAACUCCGUGCCAGCAGCCGCGGUAAUAC
rnacentral:rRNA from 1 species